AUUGAACGCUGGCGGAAUGCUUUACACAUGCAAGUCGAACGGUAGAGGGGGCAACCCCUCGAGAGUGGCGAACGGGUGAGUAAUAUAUCGGAACGUGCCCAGUCGUGGGGGAUAACGUAGCGAAAGUUACGCUAAUACCGCAUACGAUCUACGGAUGAAAGCGGGGGAUCGCAAGACCUCGCGCGAUUGGAGCGGCCGAUAUCAGAUUAGGUAGUUGGUGGGGGUAAAGGCUCACCAAGCCAACGAUCUGUAGCUGGUCUGAGAGGACGACCAGCCACACUGGAACUGAGACACGGUCCAGACUCCUACGGGAGGCAGCAGUGGGGAAUUUUGGACAAUGGACGCAAGUCUGAUCCAGCCAUUCCGCGUGCAGGAUGAAGGGCCCUCGGGGUUGUAAAACCUGCUUUUGUACGGAACGAAAAAGGUUUUCUAUUAAUACUAGGAGCUCAUGACGGUACCGUAAGAAUAAGCAACCGGCUAACUACGUG
rnacentral:rRNA from 1 species